UGGGAUAACACCUGGAAACAGAUGCUAAUACCGGAUAACAACACUAGACGCAUGUCUAGAGUUUGAAAGAUGGUUCUGCUAUCACUCUUGGAUGGACCUGCGGUGCAUUAGCUAGUUGGUAAGGUAACGGCUUACCAAGGCAAUGAUGCAUAGCCGGGUUGAGAGACUGAUCGGCCACAUUGGGACUGAGACACGGCCCAAACUCCUACGGGAGGCAGCAGUAGGGAAUCUUCCACAAUGGACGAAAGUCUGAUGGAGCAACGCCGCGUGAGUGAAGAAGGGUUUCGGCUCGUAAAGCUCUGUUGGUAGUGAAGAAAGAUAGAGGUAGUAACUGGCCUUUAUUUGACGGUAAUUACUUAGAAAGUCACGGCUAACUACGUGCCAGCAGCCGCGGUAAUACGUAGGUGGCAAGCGUUGUCCGGAUUUAUUGGGCGUAAAGCGAGUGCAGGCGGUUCAAUAAGUCUGAUGUGAAAGCCUUCGGCUCAACCGGAGAAUUGCAUCAGAAACUGUUGAACUUGAGUGCAGAAGAGGAGAGUGGAACUCCAUGUGUAGCGGUGGAAUGCGUAGAUAUAUGGAAGAACACCAGUGGCGAAGGCGGCUCUCUGGUCUGCAACUGACGCUGAGGCUCGAAAGCAUGGGUAGCGAACAGGAUUAGAUACCCUGGUAGUCCAUGCCGUAAACGAUGAG
rnacentral:rRNA from 1 species